GAUGAACGCUAGCGGCAGGCUUAAUACAUGCAAGUCGAACGGGAUUGAGAAGCUUGCUUUUCAUGAGAGUGGCGCACGGGUGCGUAACGCGUAUGCAACCUACCUUCAUCUGGGGGAUAGCCCGGAGAAAUCCGGAUUAAUACCGCAUAAAAUCACAGGAUGGCAUUAUCCAAUGAUCAAACAUUUGUGGGAUGGAGAUGGGCAUGCGUGUCAUUAGCUAGUUGGCGGGGUAACGGCCCACCAAGGCGACGAUGACUAGGGGAUCUGAGAGGAUGGCCCCCCACACUGGUACUGAGACACGGACCAGACUCCUACGGGAGGCAGCAGUAAGGAAUAUUGGUCAAUGGAGGCAACUCUGAACCAGCCAUGCCGCGUGCAGGAAGACUGCCCUACGGGUUGUAAACUGCUUUUAUUCGGGAAUAAACCUUAUUACGUGUAAUAAGCUGAAUGUACCGAAGGAAUAAGGAUCGGCUAACUCCGUGCCAGCCGCCGCAGUAA
rnacentral:rRNA from 1 species